UUGGAACUUUAGAAAACCGUGCGCAGCGCAGGCAUACGCCUAGUGUUGGAUAAGAGAAACAUGAAGCAUUACAAUCUAUGACUCGAUUGCGAUGAUGAUAAGGUCCUGAAUGCGAUUCGCUUUGCAAAUAUGCGUUCCUCUGCAAUUCAAUUCCUUCCUUUCUCUAUCUUCCCUUCUCCAAGACUCUCUAAAACCUUCAAUUGCCUUCCAAACACCCAUUCCACCACCGCCACAACAACCACCGCAGACUCCGGCCUCCUCUUCCGUGAAAAGCUCCUCUACCUUACUGCCCUCAAUAUCAAUACCCAAAAGGCCCUUACUCAAAACCCAGAUCUCCGCACCACUCCUCUCUCCGCCAUUCACUCCGUUGAGCACUGUCUCUCCUGCAUGGGCCUCCAUCGCUCCGCCAUAGGUCGCAUCCUCGACAUGCACCCUACUCUCCUCACCUCCGACCCAUAUCUCUAUCUCUAUCCAGUCUUUGAUUUCCUUCUCAAUGAAGUUGGUAUCCCGUUUCCUGACAUUGCUAAAUGCAUUUCUCGAUGUCCUAGGCUCUUAGUUUGUAGUGUAUCUGAACAAUUACGUCCUGCACUUAUCUUUCUCCGGAAUCUUGGGUUUGUGGGUCCCAGCGCCAUCAAUUCUCAGACAACGCUGUUGCUUGUGUACAAUAUUGAAUAUACCCUGAUGGCUAAGAUUGAGUUCUUGAUGAGUUUGGGAUUGAAAUACAGCGAGGUUCAAAUAAUGGUGGUGAGGUCGCCAGGGCUUUUGACGUUUAGUGUAGAGAACAAUUUGCUGCCUAAAGUUGACUACUUUCUGGUUGAAAUGAAGGGCGAUUUAGAAGAACUUAAGAGAUUUCCACAGUACUUUUCAUUCAGUUUGGAGGGGAAGAUAAAGCCUAGGCAUAAAUUGUUGGUCGAAUAUGGGUUUAAGCUUCCAUUAUGGAAGAUGUUGAAGAUUAGUGAUGGAGAAUUCUAUGCAAGAUUGCUAGAAAUGCGGCUAAGCAAGAUUGAGGAGACUUAGAUGGAAAUAAGUAACAAAGACUCUUCAAUAUGAUAAAGGCUCUAACAUGUGGUAAAAGAAUUAAUCAUAUGGUGGAGACUCCCAUAUGAUGAAUUCCAUCAUAAAAAUUAUCUCUUCAAAAGCUUGAAUGAUAUGGUUCGGAUGAUGGUUUGAACCUACCAUCUGGACUUGAUAAGGAACCAAAGGGACCACAGAGAAUGUGUGUCAAAUGAUCCAUGAUAUCCAGCACGAAUAAAGAAUUCUAGAACUUACCUAAGGCAUUGAUCCUCCUCAUCCUUAGCUUGAGGCGCAGGAACAUCUUUUCUAUAAAUAGGCAUACUAUUGACCAUAAGAGGGGAUGCUGAUCAAAAUAGAGAAAGAGAGACUGUUAAUGUUACACGCAUGAGGUCUAUACUGGCCAUAAUUUUCAAUUCCCCUUAUCAGGUUGACGUACGAUACAAACUCAAAUACUCUUUCCUGGGGAUUUGAUGGUUUCUGGAGGAGUUGAUGACAUGGGGAAAUCAAUCAGAAUGGAGUUUUGCUGAUGAUCCUGCAAUAGGUGUUUUACCUUAAACAUGGAAGUUUGGAGGGUAAAGGCCGUUCGGUCAAGCAAAAAGCAAGAAACACGCUCCUUCAAAGCAAACCAGACUGAUGUUGGUGAUGCCAUUGAACCACCCUACACAUGAGCUUUGCUGCAAUAGAAGACGUCUGUAUUUAUACAGUUAUCUGUAACCAAAAAGGAAAAAAAAAGAUAAAUAGUUAAUAUUCAUCUUUAUUUGUAUCUAUAUGUUGACGAAUUUUUCUUCCCAAGUAGUGGAUGAUAAAAUACUUGAUGGUUGGCUGCAUUCUUGUUCA